rnacentral:rRNA from 1 species
AUAAGCACAUAAAGGGUACACGGUGGAUGCCUUGGCACAAGAAGCCGAUGAAGGACGUAGAAGCCUGCGAAAAGCCUCGGGGAGGUGGCAAACAACCUUUGAUCCGGGGAUGUCCGAAUGGGAAAACCUAUGCGUCGAAGAGACGUAUGCUUUAUGGAUUAAGUCCCAUAAAGACGGGAACCAUGCGAACUGAAACAUCUCAGUAACAUGAGGAAAAGAAAGCAACAUGCCGUUAUCUUUAUCUUGUAGCUUAUAGUUGAUUGGGAAUCUCCUAAUCAGCUAAUAAGCUAAUAAGCUGAAGUUACGGUUGCGAUUCCCCUAGUAGUGGCGAGCGAACGGGGAGUAGUCUAAAUUCAUUAAUCUCCAUUUGAAAUUGGGUUCUAACGAAUUCAGUUUCAAGCGAACGGGUUACGGCCCUGAUGGUUGAUGUUGGUAAUAAGAGAAACUUUUACCUUGCCGUAAACUUGGUAGGAAAUAAUUUGGGUUGGUUAGCCGAACGGUCCUGGAAAGGCCGGCCAUAGAAGGUGAUAGCCCUGUAGCGUGAAAAUCUCCAAAAUUUCUUAAGUUUUUUCUUAAGUACGGCCAGCCACGUGAAAUCUGGUCGGAAAUCGGGUUGACUACAAUCCAAGACUAAAUACUUCUUGUGACCGAUAGUGAACAAGUACCGUGAGGGAAAGGUGAAAAGCACCCCGGAGAGGGGGAUGAAAUAGUAUCUGAAACCGUGUACUUACAAAGAGUGGGAGCCCAUUAACCAAUGCUUCGCAUUGAAAUUUUCAAGUAAUUAUUUUCAGUUUUCAUUAAAUUUUUAAUGUUUCAAUUUUAAAAAUUGAUUCAUUAGUCAUUGAUUGAAAAUUGAGAAUUAAAAAUUGGAAAUUCCACUGCGAAGCAGUGGUGGGGUGACCGCGUGCCUAUUGAAGAAUGACCCAACGAGUUAAUGUAUAUCGCUUGUUUAAGGUUUCCAAAAACCGAAGACAUAGUGAAAGCGAGCGUUAAUAGCGCGUAAUAAUCAAAUUGCUUUGCAAUUUGGAAUUUACAAUUUAAAAUUUUCGCAAGUUCUCGACAAGCUCGAACAAUAUUAAUUUUUCGAGCGGAUCCGCCGGAGGCGGAGGAGUCGAGAAGUAAAAAUUGGAAAUUAAAAUUGAUAAUUCCCAUUUGCAAAGCAAGUGGGUUAUAGGCGGUAUGUAUUAGACCCGAAACCGGGUGAGCUACUCAUGACCAGGAUGAACUCUGGGUAACACCAGAGGAAGGUCCGAAUGCGUUGAGGCUGCAAACUCUUGCAAUGAGUUGUGAGUAGUGGAGAAAUUCCAAUCGAACCCGGAGAUAGCUGGUUCUCCUCGAAAUAGCUUACAGGCUAGCCUUUGAUGUUUCUUAGGCAGGUAGAGCACUGAAUUGGUCUAUGCGGAGAAAUCUGUAGGACCGAAUCAAACUCCGAAUUGUCUAAGCCAAAAUCAGGGAGUCAGACCGUGGGGGCUAAGCUCCACUGGUCGAAAGGGAAACAGCCCUUAUCAUCAUCUAAGGUCCCAAAGUCAAAGCUAUAGUGAAAAGGAUGUAUUUGACCUCAGACAGAUAGGAUGUUGGCUUAGAAGCAGCCAUCAUUUAAAGAGUGCGUAACAGCUCACUAUCAGAGCCCGGUUCUUUCUUCGGAAAGAGCUGGGGGGUCGAAUGCGCCAACGAUUAAAAGGGGCUAAGCUUUGCACCGAAGAUAUGAAUUGUCUGCCUUCGGGCAGGCAGUGGUAGAGGAGCGUUCUUGUUCUGUCGAAGCUGGAUCCGCGAGGGCCAGUGGAAGAACAAGAAGUGAGAAUGUUGGGAUAAGUAAUUAAUUUGCAGGUGAGAAUCCUGCACACCGAAAGUCCAAGGUUUCCUGGGCAAUGCUUGUCAGCCCAGGGUUAGUCGAUCCUAACUUUGCACGCGAAAGCAUGCAGGGGAUGGAAAAUACGGUUGAUAUUCCGUAACCGUAAUCAUAUUAUCCAAGGAGCAACGCAUUUGGGAGAAACGAGCAUAAUUUGACUUAUUGUGCUCCUGUACUUAGGCGGGUUUUCCAGGCAAAUCCGGAAGACCAUUUGUGGCUUAUCUUUACCCUAACUUCGGUUAGAAUGAGGUAGGUUCACUGCAACACCAAAGGUAUGGGAAGACUCUGGAAACGGAGGAUAUGUUUUGACUCAAGUGCCUAGAAAAACUUCGUGGUCACGUAUGAUUGCGAUCGUACCGCAAACCGACACAGGUGGACGAGGAGAGAAUCCUAAGGUGAACGAGAUAAUGUUCGUUAAGGAACUCGGCAAAACAACGGCCGUACCCUUGGUAUAAGGCCUCCCCCCACUUUGUCUGGAGCAGUAAUUAAAACUAAAGAUUUUAGUUUACUUACUGAAACGGACAAAGUGGGGGGCGCAGUAAAAGACUCCUUCCGACUGUUUAUCAAAAACUUAGGUCCCUGCAAAGCCGCAAGGCAAAGUAUAGGGGCUGAUGCCUGGCCAGUGUCAGAAGGUCAACGGUGUUUGGGCAACCGAACACCCUAAGCCCUGACGAACGCCGGCGAUAACUAUAAUCGUCCUAAGGUAGCGAAAUUCCUUGUCGUGUAAGUUACGACCCGCACGAAUGGCAUAACGAGCUGGAGACUGUCUUAACGAACACCUCGAUGAACUUGCAAUAACGGUAAAGAUGCCGUUUACACACAGCAAGACGGAAAGACCCUAUGAAGCUUUACUAUAGCGUGUCAUUGAAACAAUGUUUUUUCUGCUUAGAAUAGGUGGGAGACUUUGAUGUCCCGAUUCUGGUCGGGACGGAGUCGCAAUAUGAAAUACCACUCUGAACAAGUUUUGUUUCUAACCCUGAUUUAACUUAUCGGGGAACAGUGGCUCGUGGGUAGUUUAACUGGGGCGGUUGCCUCCUAAAUUGUAACGGAGGCGUUUAAAGGUCAGCUAGGCUCGGAUGGAAAUCGAGCCGAUAGUGCAAACGCAGAAGCUGGCUUAACUGCAAGACUGACAAGUCGCGCAGAUGCGAAAGCAGAAGUUAGUGAUCCGACGACCCUUAGUGGUAAGGGCGAAGCUCAUCGGACAAAAGUUACUCUAGGGAUAACAGGCUGAUCCUCUCCAAGCGCCCAUAGCGACGAGAGGGUUUGGCACCUCGAUGUCGGCUCAUCACUUCCUGGGGGUGAAGAAGCUCCCAAGGGUUCGGCUGUUCGCCGAUUAAAGUGGUACGCGAGCUGGGUUCAGAACGUAAAUUACAUUGCGUUCUACUGCAGAAAUGCAGUAUAAUAAAUCUGACUAAUAUCGGUGAAACCCUACCAGAUUUAAACUGGUCUAGAGGGCAAUACCGAGGGAAGAUCAGAUUUGUGACAAACGAAGAAAAAGCUUAUAUAGCAGGAUUUCUCGAUGGUGACGGAUGCGUAAUGGCGCAAUUGGUGCGCCGAAAAGAUUAUAUUUACGGAUUUCAAAUUCGUACUAGUAUUGUCUUUUAUCAGAAGCAGACCCGUCAAGAAAUUCUUUCUUGGCUAAAAGAUAAAUUAAAUUAUGGAUAUAUUCGACAACGCAAAGAUGGAAUGACGGAAUAUACCAUAGUGGGCUUUAAAGAAGUUCGGGAAACAUUGGAGCUUCUUCAAUCAUUUCUUCGUUUAAAACGAGUCCUGUCGAAGUUGGUGUUAGAACUUAUAAGGUCUCAUCCUAAAAACAUGAGCCCGAAAGAGUUAGUGCGUUUAAGUUAUUUAGUGGAUAAGACCGCUAAAUUUAAUUAUUCGAAAAAACGUACUAAUACCAGUAAGACGAUAAAGGAUUUUUUUAAACACAAAUCUUUUCCCCGUAGAGACUUCAAGCUAGAUUCAAGAAUUUAGCUUGGGAUAGUCCUGUAAAUUCAGGAUUAUAAUACGUCGGCUCCUCCUCUUAAGUUCCUUAAGAAAGGAUGAAGAUAUAGUCCAUGCCAUCAGUAAUGGUGGAUUAACAUGCGUGAGACAGUUCGGUCCUUAUCUGCUGUGUGUGUUCGAAACUUGCGUGGGCGCUUCCCUAGUACGAGAGGACCGGGAAGCAUGAACCUCUGGUGUACCCGUUGUUCCGUCAGGAGCAUGGCGGGGUAGCUAACGUUCAGUUUGGAUAAGCGCUGAAUGCAUAUAAGCGCGAAGCCGUCCAUCAAACUAGGUUUCGUUUCCGCCUUUUCGGCGGAGAAAGAUUCGCGGAAGACUACCGCGUUAAUAGGCUACAGGUGUAAGCGUAGUAAUACGUUCAGCCGAGUAGUACUAAUCAAUCAAAAGCUUA